AACAACCUUCAUGUUGAAUAAUCCGGAAUUACAACUACAUGAGCGGAAGCUAACCUGAAUCCAUAUGUGUGGAAUUUUAUGAACCACCUUUGAUAAUUGUCCUUGCCAACUUAAAAUCCCGCAUAAAGUAAUAUAAAUAAAUCAUCGCCAUGUUAGGAUUAUGAUUCCUACUAAAGACAACAACCUUCAUGUUGAAUAAUCCGGAAUUACAACUACAUGAGCGGAAGCUAACCUGAAUCCA
rnacentral:lncRNA from 1 species